rnacentral:rRNA from 1 species
GAUGAACGCUGGCGGCGUGCCUAAUACAUGCAAGUCGAGCGAACGGACGAGGAGCUUGCUCCUUUGACGUUAGCGGCGGACGGGUGAGUAACACGUGGAUAACCUACCUAUAAGACUGGGAUAACUUCGGGAAACCGGAGCUAAUACCGGAUAAUAUAUUGAACCGCAUGGUUCAAUAGUGAAAGACGGUUUUGCUGUCACUUAUAGAUGGAUCCGCGCCGCAUUAGCUAGUUGGUAAGGUAACGGCUUACCAAGGCAACGAUGCGUAGCCGACCUGAGAGGGUGAUCGGCCACACUGGAACUGAGACACGGUCCAGACUCCUACGGGAGGCAGCAGUAGGGAAUCUUCCGCAAUGGGCGAAAGCCUGACGGAGCAACGCCGCGUGAGUGAUGAAGGUCUUCGGAUCGUAAAACUCUGUUAUUAGGGAAGAACAAAUGUGUAAGUAACUAUGCACGUCUUGACGGUACCUAAUCAGAAAGCCACGGCUAACUACGU